AUUGAACGCUGGCGGCAUGCCUUACACAUGCAAGUCGAACGGUAACAGGUCUUCGGAUGCUGACGAGUGGCGAACGGGUGAGUAAUACAUCGGAACGUGCCCGAUCGUGGGGGAUAACGAAGCGAAAGCUUUGCUAAUACCGCAUAAGAUCUAUGGAUGAAAGCAGGGGACCGCAAGGCCUUGCGCGAACGGAGCGGCCGAUGGCAGAUUAGGUAGUUGGUGGGAUAAAAGCUUACCAAGCCGACGAUCUGUAGCUGGUCUGAGAGGACGACCAGCCACACUGGGACUGAGACACGGCACAGACUCCAACGGGAGGCAGCAGGGGGGAAUUUUGGACAAUGGGCGAAAGCCUGAUCCAGCCAUGCCGCGUGCAGGAUGAAGGCCUUCGGGUUGUAAACUGCUUUUGUACGGAACGAAAAGACUCUUUCAAAUAAAGAGGGUCCAUGACGGUACCGUAAGAAUAAGCACCGGCUAACUACGUGCCAGCAGCCGCAGUAA
rnacentral:rRNA from 1 species